GUGAACAGACUUACUACAAGGAGUGUCCCGAUUCAAAAAAUGAGGAUGGAGCAAGUGUCCUACGUCAGGUAAAUUAUUUUUCAUUGAAUAGAAUUUUUUUUUUAAUUUGGUAAGUUGCAGCAGCGAUUCUGGAACGAUCUUGGCUCAAGAUGAUGGUUCACUGGAUAUUUGGAAGACGUGGGGAUGUAAUACUCUUGUCAGUGACAAUAGUACAAUCAGAUUACUAAUUAUCAUCUUCCUUAUUUCAUGUGAUCAUUUUCAUUUAUUUCACAGCCUCCAUAUUCAAGGGCAGCAAUAUUGUUGUGCUUGCUGUCAAGCCAAACUAAUUCCCUGACUUUGUUAGGGAUUUGAACAAAUGUAAUGGACCAGAAAAUCAGUUAGUGUUGUCUGUAAUGAGCGGGAUCACUAUUGAAGAACUUGAAAAGGGGCUUUUUUCAUGAGUGGCUAAUCUUAAGGCCAUAAUUCAUGUGAUGCCCAAUACUCCUGCAUUGUGUACUGCCUCAAGGAGCAUGCACCUUCCAAGCAUGCUGAUGCAACCAUCAAAAUCUUAGAAAGUGUGUGAAUUUGUUGUCAGGUGCCCGAGUGCCACAUGAACAAAGCGUUCACAAAUAAGAGGAUCCAUGAUCUGACCACAGCUGUUGCUUCCACCUAGUGAUUGUUAAGCUUUCAAAAUGAUUAUAAUUUGUUAUACAACACAGAAAAAUCAAAAACAUAUUUGCUGUUUUCGUUUGAUGAAAUUAUUACAGAAACAAUAAAUGUGUUUACAACUUUAA